rnacentral:rRNA from 1 species
CCUACGGGAGGCAGCAGUAGGGAAUAUUGCGCAAUGGGGGAAACCCUGAAGCAGCAACGCCGCGUGAAGGAUGAAGGUUUUCGGAUGGUAAGCUCCUUUUGUUAGAGAAGAUAAUGACGGUAUCUAACGAAUAAGCACCGGCUAACUCCGUGCCAGCAGCCGCGGUAAUACGGAGGGUGCAAGCGUUACUCGGAAUCACUGGGCGUAAAGAGCGCGUAGGCGGGAUAGCAAGUCAGAUGUGAAAUCCUAUGGCUUAACCAUAGAACUGCAUUUGAAACUGUUAUUCUAGAGUAUGGGAGAGGUAGGUGGAAUUCUUGGUGUAGGGGUAAAAUCCGUAGAGAUCAAGAGGAAUACUGAUUGCGAAGGCGAUCUGCUAGAACAUAACUGACGCUGAUGCGCGAAAGCGUGGGGAGCAAACAGGAUUAGAUACCCUUGUAGUC